AACGAACGCUGGCGGCGUGCCUAACACAUGCAAGUCGAGCGAGAAAGCCCGCAAGGGUGAGUAAAGCGGCGCACGGGUGAGUAACACGUGGGUAAUCUGCCCUGGAGUCCGGAAUAACUCGCCGAAAGGCGUGCUAAUGCCGGAUGAGACCACGGGAGCCUCGGCUCCUGCGGGAAAAGGUGGCCUCUGUACACAAGCUAUCGCUCUAGGAUGAGCCCGCGGCCCAUCAGCUCGUUGGGGGGGUAAUGGCCCACCAAGGCUACGACGGGUAGCUGGUCUGAGAGGACGACAAGCCACACUGGAACUGAGACACGGUCCAGACUCCUACGGGAGGCAGCAGUGGGGAAUCUUGCGCAAUGGGCGAAAGCCUGACGCAGCAACGCCGCGUGUGUGAUGAAGGUCUUCGGAUCGUAAAGCACUGUCGCGAGGGACGAAUAAGGGGCGGGCUAACAUCCCGUUCCGAUGACGGUACCUCGAGAGGAAGCACCGGCUAACUCUGUGCCAGCCGCCGCCGUAACAC
rnacentral:rRNA from 1 species